AGUGAACGCUGGCGGUAGGCCUAACACAUGCAAGUCGAACGGCAGCACAGUAAGAGCUUGCUCUUACGGGUGGCGAGUGGCGGACGGGUGAGGAAUACAUCGGAAUCUACUUUUUCGUGGGGGAUAACGUAGGGAAACUUACGCUAAUACCGCAUACGACCUACGGGUGAAAGCAGGGGAUCUUCGGACCUUUCGCGAUGGAAUGAGCCGAUGUCGGAUUAGCUAGUUGGCGGGGUAAAGGCCCACCAAGGCGACGAUCCGUAGCUGGUCUGAGAGGAUGAUCAGCCACACUGGAACUGAGACACGGUCCAGACUCCUACGGGAGGCAGCAGUGGGGAAUAUUGGACAAUGGGCGCAAGCCUGAUCCAGCCAUACCGCGUGGGUGAAGAAGGCCUUCGGGUUGUAAAGCCCUUUUGUUGGGAAAGAAAAGCAGCAGGUUAAUACCCCGCUGUUCUGACGGUACCCAAAGAAUAAGCACCGGCUAACUUCGUG
rnacentral:rRNA from 1 species